UUAUCGUGAUACAAUACUAAGUGCGUGCUGGUGGCGCGUGAAGCAUACUCCCCCGGUUGCAGGCGUUUUUUACGUCGCGCAUCUUUCACUAUGAGUGAAGCCUCUUACGAUUUUCACCGAUGGUAUAGCGACGAUCUGCCGUCCACACACGCGUGAGGUGGCUAUUCUCCGAGGCACAACAAUCAAAGUGUACUGUGUGUGUGUGUACUGUGUGUGUGGUCGUAGUGUCCCGAGAGCAGCAGAUAUGUUAUCAAACGCGCAACUUUGUUUUAUUUAUGAUGAUGAAACAAUCGCUCAAAAUGGUUGCAGAACGGAAAUUUUACUGCGUACAUAGUUCGGGGCCCCUCUGCUCGAGACGUUGUUUCUAAGAAGAAGAAAAAAAUUCUGCCGUCUGGGAUACUGCGCAGAAAGCUUUUACAUCGAAGCAGCGUUGACUGAUUUUUGAAAAAUUGGCAUUUUUAUCAGCGAUCGGAUAUUACCCUCUACGAGCAGUGCCCGGUUUUAAUGCAGACACCUUAAAUUCGAAAUGAGGGGCUCUUGAAAUUGAAAGAGGUAUCUUCCUCCCAAAUAAAUUGGCUGACGUUGAAAACAACCUAAACUCGUCAAAGACCAACCACUACCCAGGCUGAAAAUCCGAAAAGCAAUUCCGAUUUCGUCGAGCAAAAUAUCCAGGAAACGAAACGCUUAUUGAUUUUCGCAAAGAACUUGUACAGUAGUUGGCAAUGUUGUGUCUUGGCAAAAGAACUGAUCAAACAAAAUAAAGAAAAUUGAUAAGCUA